GUUUAACUCUUGUAGGCUUGUUUGGCUGGUAUGUGCCAAAGGCUGUUCACUCAUUUCUGUUUUUGCUGCACAACCUCACAACUUAAAAACAGGCCACAUUUAUAAACUAACACUGUUCCCUAUAUUCAACGUGUUUAUGACUCCAGGCAAUCCAAGUCCAAACAUAUUUUAUAAGCCAUGAUUUUAAAACAAAUCUUGAGGUUAUAUUCCAGAUGUGUAAAGAAGUUCUUUAGCAAAACAACUUACCAUCUGGGGGCCUGUAUGUAUUUACAUGAAGGGCAUGAAAGCACCAAAGAGACACUGGAGAACUUGCCUUUGAGGUUACAGUACAGAACGCAAGCACAUCAUGAGAAUUGCCAGGGCCCUUGCUGGAACCUUGUUAAUUAAAGCUCUUAGUUGAACAAUU
rnacentral:lncRNA from 1 species